rnacentral:lncRNA from 1 species
CAAGAAAGUGAUUAACAGUCUCCAUCUUUGCUGCUGAUAGUUUGAUUUUGAUUAUCUUGUUAGUUUCUUACUUCUGAGCUUAACUUACUAGCUGAUACUCUAGCAUAGUUUUUCAUCUUUUUUGUAUGGGUCCUGUUCCUUGACAACCGGUUGUUAGAUAAGGGUUAUCUAACACACUGUACGGGGGCCGUUGGAUUUAUAUUCCAAGGGCUCAGAUUCAAUUUUGGGUUUUUAAUGUAUCCGCGGUUAUUUUCCGCGGAAGGGAAAACUCCCUAUCCGCGGUUAUUUACCGCGGAAGGGAGUUUUCCCUAUCCGCGGUUUUUUAUAGCGGAUACAUUAAAAUCUCAGAUUGGAUCUGGGCCUUUGAAAUAUAGAUCUAACGGCCCCCGUACAGUGUGUUAGAUAACCCUUAUCUAACAACCGGUUGUCAAGGAACAGGACCCUUUUUGUAUUGUAGCAUGAAGUCUCCUUUAAGUUUUUAGUUACUUCAAGGCUCAAGCUAAGAUGGCAGGUGGAUUUUGUUUAUAUUAAUAGUGUAGUUUCUUCCAUACCUUACUUUUAGUUUGCUUAGAAGCUUCCGAAUGUAUGCUUCUUCUCAUUGUUUUUAUUGUUCUACAACUAUAAACUAUUGAUGAUAGCUGAAAGUAGUAAACUUAUAUGUAAGAACAUAAAGUGAUUAUGUAAUGUUUUAAGUUUCUUGAUUUGUUGAGGGGGCAUUUAUGAUUCUAUUUGAUGUACUAGAAUGUUAUGUCUAUAUGAGGC